rnacentral:rRNA from 1 species
CCUACGGGGGGCAGCAGUAGGGAAUAUUGCUCAAUGGGGGAAACCCUGAAGCAGCAACGCCGCGUGGAGGAUGAAGGUUUUCGGAUUGUAAACUCCUGUUGGUAGAGAAGAAAAUGACGGUAUCUAACGAAUAAGAACCGGAUAACUCCGUGCCCGCAGGCGCGGUAAGACGGAGGGUGCAAGCGUUAGGCGGAAUAACGGGGCGUAAAGAGCGCGGAGGCGGGAUAGCUAGUCCGAUGUGUAAUCCUCUGGCUUAACCCUCGAACUGCAUUUGAAACUGUUAUUCUAGAGUAUGGGAGAGGUAGGUGGCAUUCUUGGUGUAGCGGUUAAAUCCGUAGAUAUCACGAGGAAUACUCAUUGCGAAGGCGACCUGCUAGAUCAUAACUGACGCUGAUGCGCGAAAGCGUGGGGAGCAAACAGGAUUAGCUACCCUUGUAGUC